CGCGGGAGCCGGGAGCAGGUGGCGCGGGCCUCGGCUCAGGCGCAGCCCCGCACGCCAGGAGCUGUGCACGCGGGUGCCGCGUGACUAGACGGAGGGCAAGAGCGGCGGCUACUCCGGGAUGUCUCCUCUUUGGACCACUGUGUCCCCGCGCGGAACAAGCCAGAGUGGUGAACAGGAAGGAAGACAUGACUGUAUGGUAGCAGAGAUCUCAAGAGCUACUUCUUGACUUGACGUUCAAAGGAGCACCCAAAAUUCCGACAAUUGGAAACAUGGCAGAAGAAGGAAAGAAGAAAUGCAAGAGCCAGAAGAUGGACAGAAGGGCUGCAGCAUUCCAUCUUCCUGGCAUGCACAACUAUUGCAGUCAUGAUCUUACCGCAGCCAUGGCUGCCUGCACAAGACAGGGUCUGUCAACAGUGGAUCAUGGAUCCAGGAGGGGCUCACAGGGCCUUAAAACUCCUUGAUGAAUUAUUGACUACUGGUGGAUUCUGGGGGAGGGGAAGAGGGCAGUCAUUGUCUUCAGUUCUGUACCCACUAGGAGCCCACCAUCCCCAGUGGAUAGUUACAAACCCAGGGUGAUACAGAUGACCCUGGUUCUACUCAGUAGAUCACAAAACAGAACAGCAUAAAUACGGGAAAGGGACAUGUAGGGAGGAGAGGGAGUUGACACGUGGGAGAAAGAUAAAAGUUGGGAGUAAGCAGAAUGCAUUACGUAUAUAGAUGAAGCUGCCAUAGAAUAAAUUUAAUAAAAGUUAUAAAAAUA